rnacentral:rRNA from 1 species
UACAAAGGGGGCAAGCGUUAUUCGGAAUUAUUGGGCGUAAAGGGCGCGUAGGCGGCCUUGCAAGUGGCGGGUGAAAUCCCUCGGCUUAACCGAGGAACUGCCUGCCAGACUGCAAGGCUCGAGACCGGGAGAGGUGAGUGGAAUUCCCAGUGUAGCGGUGAAAUGCGUAGAUAUUGGGAGGAACACCAAUGGCGAAGGCAGCUCGCUGGGACGUGACUGACGCUGAGACGCGAAAGCGUGGGGAGCAAACAGG